rnacentral:rRNA from 1 species
AACACCAGUGGCGAAGGCGGCCUACUGGGCACCAACUGACGCUGAGGCUCGAAAGUGUGGGUAGCAAACAGGAUUAGAUACCCUGGUAGUCCACACCGUAAACGAUGAUUACUAGGUGUUGGAGGAUUGACCCCUUCAGUGCCGCAGUUAACACAAUAAGUAAUCCACCUGGGGAGUACGACCGCAAGGUUGAAACUCAAAGGAAUUGACGGGGGCCCGCACAAGCAGUGGAGUAUGUGGUUUAAUUCGACGCAACGCGAAGAACCUUACCAAGUCUUGACAUCCUGCGACGAUGCUGGAAACAGUAUUUUCCUUCGGGACGCAGAGACAGGUGGUGCAUGGUUGUCGUCAGCUCGUGUCGUGAGAUGUUGGGUUAAGUCCCGCAACGAGCGCAACCCUUACUGUUAGUUGCUACGCAAGAGCACUCUAGCAGGACUGCCGUUGACAAAACGGAGGAAGGUGGGGAUGACGUCAAAUCAUCAUGCCCUUUAUGACUUGGGCUACACACGUACUACAAUGGCGUUAAACAAAGAGAAGCAAGACCGCGAGGUGGAGCAAAACUCAGAAACAACGUCCCAGUUCGGACUGCAGGCUGCAACUCGCCUGCACGAAGUCGGAAUUGCUAGUAAUCGCGGAUCAGCAUGCCGCGGUGAAUACGUUCCCGGGCCUUGUACACACCGCCCGUCACACCAUGAGAGCCGGGGGGACCCGAAGUCGGUAGUCUAACCGCAAGGAGGACGCCGCCGAAGGUAAAACUGGUGAUUGGGGUGAAGUCGUAACAAGGUAGCCGUAGGAGAACCUGCGGCUG